CUGCGAAAGCCGGAUUAAUACCGCAUACGCUCUAUGGAGGAAAGCGGGGGAUCUUCGGACCUCGCGCUCAAGGGGCGGCCGAUGGCGGAUUAGCUAGUUGGUGGGGUAAAGGCCUACCAAGGCGACGAUCCGUAGCUGGUCUGAGAGGACGACCAGCCACACUGGGACUGAGACACGGCCCAGACUCCUACGGGAGGCAGCAGUGGGGAAUUUUGGACAAUGGGGGCAACCCAGAUCCAGCAAUGCCGCGUGUGUGAAGAAGGCCUUCGGGUUGUAAAGCACUUUUGUCCGGAAAGAAAUCCUGCCUGUUAAUACCGGGCGGGGAUGACGGUACCGGAAGAAUAAGCACCGGCUAACUACGUGCCAGCAGCCGCGGUAAUACGUAGGGUGCGAGCGUUAAUCGGAAUUACUGGGCGUAAAGCGUGCGCAGGCGGUUUGCUAAGACCGAUGUGAAAUCCCCGGGCUUAACCUGGGAACUGCAUUGGUGACUGGCGAGCUAGAGUAUGGCA
rnacentral:rRNA from 1 species